GCCGAAGUGGUGGAACUGGCAGACGCGCCGGACUCAAAAUCCGGAGGUAGCAAUACCGUGCGGGUUCGAUUCCCGCCUUCGGCACCA
rnacentral:tRNA from 1 species